UCCAGACUCCUACGGGAGGCAGCAGUGGGGAAUAUUGCACAAUGGGGGAAACCCUGAUGCAGCGACGCCGCGUGAGCGAUGAAGUAUUUCGGUAUGUAAAGCUCUAUCAGCAGGGAAGAAAAUGACGGUACCUGACUAAGAAGCCCCGGCUAACUACGCGCCCGCAGCCGCGGUAAUACGGAGGAUGCGAGCGUUAUCCGGAUUUAUUGGGUUUAAAGGGUGCGCAGGCGGCGGGUCAAGUCAGCGGUAAAAUGGCGGGGCUAAACCCCGGCCGGCCGGUGAAACUGGCGUGCUCGAGUUGGAGAGAAGUAGGCGGAAUUCGUGGUGUAGCGGUGAAAUGCAUAGAUAUCACGAAGAACCCCGAUUGCGAAGGCAGCAUACCGGCUCCACACUGACGCUGAGGCACGAAAGCGUGGGUAUCGAACAGGAUUAGAUACCCGAGUA
rnacentral:rRNA from 1 species